UAAAGAUCACAUGAUCGGUCAUAUGAUUUAGAUAAGAUCAAGGUUAUCGAAAACGGAUGCGGUGCAUUCUCUCAAAUGUUCAAGAGGAAAACCCCAAAUUUCUCGGCAUUGCAAAAAGACUGUUUUCAAAGCGCUCUGCUUGUUCUUGUCAUAACGUUUCGAUUGCCGAUUGAUCUUUAUAAAUAUUUAAUCCUUCGUGACGCAUUAAAAUUAGUGUAACGCGCUCUUGUUUUGAAAACUGUUAACAUCAGUACAGAAGUGUAUUUUCGCGAUCGAAUCUAAAUUUUUGAAUUUCUCCGCGUGCUUUAUUUUGUUCUUAAAAUCAAAUUAUAUCCGUACACUUUGCAAAAUUGCUGUUUAGUUUAUUUUAAGCUGGAAGGUGUUUUGGUGGCUGGUGACUCCAAUGUCUACAGACUCCGAGAUUCGAGCAGCGAUCGGUCUGGCAACGUGAAUAUUUCAUUCCUGGCCGUCUCAGAUGAUGGCACAGAUACAUAAAGAAGAUCUGAAGAACGUGCCUAUUCGCAUUAAACUUCCGGAAAAGAGGAAAAAGUUUUAUUGACACCAGUGACCAUUUUCAGCUGCUUCUGGGGGAUGUUGCAAUUUGCCAUCCAGCUCAGAACAUACAUGGCUUACCCAUAAUAAAUAAAACUGAAAGCUGUGACAGUAGGAAAGAAAACCAUUAGAAAAAAACAACAUUGCAAAAAGGCAAAACGAUGUGUGAAAAAGCCUCAACAGUGGUUGAACUGUACUGACUGCAAGGUUGGAUGUUCCAGGGAAGAUUUUCUCCUAGAUCAUAUGCACAAACGUCAUGUUCAUGAAGGGACCAUUUCAAAGCAUAUUCAGUUAGAUGUUUAAUCAAAGGAUUCUCCUAGAAAACAGGCACCAGAGGCAAACUUUGAGGAUAUGGAAAAUCGUCAAGUAAAUCUCAAUCCACCCAAGAAAGACUUUCAACAGAACGUGGAUACUACAAGAAGGAGGUUAUUGUUGACCAAUGAUGUUGAGCAGAACCCUUGACCGGUAAAUAGUAUUCACUUUUAUUAUACUUAUUAAAGGACAACAGUUAUAAUUAUUAAUAUAAUCAUGAACUUAGUCAAUAUUCAAUUCAUAUAAAGUCUUGAGAGCAUUUGUCCUAAUAAUUUAAUCAUUAUAAAAAUGAUUUA